rnacentral:rRNA from 1 species
CCUACGGGAGGCAGCAGUGGGGAAUAUUGGACAAUGGGCGCAAGCCUGAUCCAGCCAUACCGCGUGUGUGAAGAAGGCCUUCGGGUUGUAAAGCACUUUAAGCAGGGAGAAAAAGUUAUAAGUUAAUACCUUAUAACCGUGAUGUUACCUGCAGAAUAAGCACCGGCUAAUUCCGUGCCAGCAGCCGCGGUAA